rnacentral:rRNA from 1 species
GACAGAGGGGGCAAGCGUUGCUCGGAAUCACUGGGCGUAAAGGGCGCGUAGGCGGGAUGGCAAGUCGGUCGUGAAAUCCUUCGGCUCAACCGAAGAACGUCGGGCCGAUACUGCCGUUCUUGAGGGAUGCAGAGGAGAUUGGAAUUCCCGGUGUAGCGGUGAAAUGUGUAGAGAUCGGGAGGAACACCGGUGGCGAAGGCGGGUCUCUGGGCAUCUCCUGACGCUGAGGCGCGAAGGCCAGGGGAGCAAACGGG